rnacentral:rRNA from 1 species
CACGUAGGGGGCAAGCGUUGUCCGGAUUAUUGGGCGUAAAGAGCUCGUAGGCGGCUUAGUAAGUCGGGUGUGAAACCUCCAGGCUCAACCUGGAGACGCCACCCGAUACUGCUGUGGCUAGAGUCCGGUAGGGGAGCGUGGAAUUCCUGGUGUAGCGGUGAAAUGCGCAGAUAUCAGGAGGAACACCAGCGGCGAAGGCGGCGCUCUGGGCCGGUACUGACGCUGAGGAGCGAAAGCGUGGGGAGCAAACAGG